rnacentral:lncRNA from 1 species
UAGCCCACACCACUUGCACUAACAGUUCUAAUAUAUCACAUACACACCAAGAUAGAACACAAGUAUGCAUUAUAUCACAUAUAAGUAGAACAAGGGGGAACAUGCAUAAAUAAGAUCAUCGAAUACAAGUAAAAAAAGAUAAGACAAUUACAUAGAUGAAAAGUCAAUACGACAAUACAACACAAUAUAAACAUAAUAAAGUAAGUGAAAUGUAUAUGAUGAUGAUGAUGAUGA